UACGUAGGGACCAAGCGUUGUUCGGAUUUACUGGGCGUAAAGGGCGCGUAGGCGGCGUGGUAAGUCACUUGUGAAAUCUCUGAGCUUAACUCAGAACGGCCAAGUGAUACUGCUGUGCUAGAGUGCAGAAGGGGCAAUCGGAAUUCUUGGUGUAGCGGUGAAAUGCGUAGAUAUCAAGAGGAACACCUGAGGUGAAGACGGGUUGCUGGGCUGACACUGACGCUGAGGCGCGAAAGCGUGGGGAGCAAACAGG
rnacentral:rRNA from 1 species